rfam:Brassica napus, WGS project CCCW01000000 data, contig: 29027
CCCGCUGAGUUUAAGCAUAUCAAUAAGCGUAGGAAAAGAAACUAACAAGGAUUCCCUUAGUAACGGUGAGCGAACCGGGAAGAGCCCAACUUGAAAAUCGGACAUCUUCGGCGUUCAAAUUGUAGUCUGGAGAAGCUUCUUCAGCGACGGACCAGGCCUAAGUUCGCUGGAAUGGGGCGCUAGAGAGGGUGAGAGCCCCGUCGUGCCCGGAAUCUGUCGCACCACGAGGCACUGUCUACGAGUCGGGUUGUUUGGGAAUGCAGCCCCAAUCGGACA